rnacentral:rRNA from 1 species
AGGGCUUGACAUGCACGGUGCAGCGCGAGAGAUCGCGUGUCCUUUGGGGUCGUGCACAGGUGGUGCAUGGUUGUCGUCAGCUCGUGUCGUGAGAUGUUGGGUUAAGUCCCGCAACGAGCGCAACCCUCGUCCUGUAUUGCCAGCAGCACCCCUCGGGGUGGCUGGGGACUUGCGGGAGACUGCCGGGGUCAACUCGGAGGAAGGUGGGGACGACGUCAAAUCAUCAUGCCCCUUAUGUCCUGGGCUGCACGCAUGCUACAAUGGCCGGUACAAAGGGCUGCGAUGCCGUGAGGCGGAGCGAAUCCCGGAAAGCCGGUCUCAGUUCGGAUCGGGGUCUGCAACUCGACCCCGUGAAGUCGGAGUCGCUAGUAAUCGCAGAUCAGCAACGCUGCGGUGAAUACGUUCCCGGGCC